AGUCAUAAGAGCUUACCAAUGGAUGAAAGAGAAAUAAAUUACUUUGGGAACAGUAGAAUUCCUUAGCUAAGAGUUUAUAAAUUAGCCUCAAUGCUUUACAAGUAUGCUCAUGGUUUAUAACUAAAACGAUCGGAAGUAAUUGGGUUAGUGAGAACUAACAUCACAAGGGCCAGGGCUGACAGAGUUUAAAAAUGUAAAAGACUAUUUUGUGAAAUGGAGCUUAUCAGAAUCAUCAGUGGAGUUUUUUGUAUUUCUUUAAAAAAAAAUUUUUUUUUGAAAGGCUAUAGCAAAGACCUACUGUGGUAACACGGAUACACAGAAAAGUUUGAGAAUGACUGCUCUAAUAUAGUCACCCUAAUGUUUUAAGAAUUAUGUGUAUUUUAUAUUUUGCUGACCUUAAGGCUUUUCUAAAUGAUAAAGGUUCAGAUUUAUUUCUGUCAUCUCUAAACAUACAGUCAUAUCACCUCCAGGCAGUUUCACCAAUGCUACAUAACAAGUUUUCAGUUGAUCACACAUAGCAGUAAUAAAGAUUUGGGUAAAUGUGUUAAAAUUUUUUAAUACCAAGGUCAGAUCCCAAACAAAAAUUAACAAUCACUAGUGUAUCAGAAAGCCACAGAGCUUUCUUACAAACACAGACUCGUAAAGAAGAUUUAUGAUACUAGCAGAGCAAUAGUCUCAUUAUUUUGAAUAAGACAGUGAACAAAAAUCUGACCCAGAUAAAUAAUUUAGGCUUGGCUUUAACUAGCUUCUGAUGCGAUUCUCUGGAUACUAAAAUCAUUUAUGUGUAAGCAUGACAGAUGCGAAGCCCUCGAGCCCUUGAAAGCAACCGCUCAUCAGCCUUCAUUAGAGGCUGAGAAGACCACUAAAUGCUCUCUUAGACAUGAGAGUGGCAACAAGAAGCCCAGGAUGACUACAAACUCACCUGCAAACCCCAAGGAUGAAACAACACUCAGCAGUUCCAUGGAACCAUCAGUGCUACCAGGUGGGAGCCUCUGGGUCAAGUCCACGAUGGAGGACCCCUUCGGUUCUACUGGAAAAGGUGGCUCUUUACCAGCUUGUCCAAGAAGGUAUGAUGCUGCUCCCACGUGCUCAAGAGCCCUGAGCACCACAAAUGAUCACUUAUCUUCCCGAGCUUUGACCAAAACCCAAGGAGAAAAGACUGGCCUGCAGCAUCAGUUAGGUAGGAAGUGCCCAGACUCCGGACAGAGUACUACUUGGGUUCAGAUCCCAGCUCUGCUUCUUAACAGCUAUGUGAACCUGGACAAGAUACGCCACUUCCCUGUGCCUCGGUCAUGCCAUCUGUGAAAUGGGUUUCUCCUUCACAGGUUUAAGGAACAAAUGAGAAGUUACGUGUAAAACAUAUAGCACUAUGACUACACAGAGGAAACACUCAAUAAACAUUCAUUUUCGUUACUUUUCUCUCAACCCUUUCUUCACCUAGAAAAUCAGAAGUGAUUAUAUUUCUCCACUUCUUAGGAUUGUCAGGAGAAUUAAAUGAGGUAACGCAUGGGCUUUUCAAUGCCUAGCACAGUAGUCAAUAAAUGUUAGUGGAUUAUUUUAAACUUUAUACUUUUCACUUCAAUUUCCACUUGAAUCAAGAAUUUAGAAAUCAGAACACAACUGCUUUCCCUACUAAGAUUCACAGGUAACAGUUUUCUAGUUAGUCCUUUUUGUCUUUACAUUCCUUCUUCUUCUUCUUUUUUUUUUUUUUGGAGCAAACCCUGACACAGGAGUCAGAUUAUAAUGGUAUUGGCAUGACUCCACGAAGUGCUAGCCAAGUGAUCUCAAGAAAUAUCAGAAUCUUAGGUUUCUUAACUGUAAAACCAGAUAAAAAUGUCUCUCUUUUAAAGUAGAAAGGUCUCCAGAGGGUAAUGAAUGAAACAUGCUUUGUAAACAAUUAAACAAUGCAGCAAUGUAAGACCUCAUCAUUUUCCCAGGAUGAAUGAGGACUUACUAGAAUAAAUAUAGAGCAUAAUAUAGAUCUAUAAAGCAGUUUCUCCAUUGACUAGAGCAGAUUUAAGUUUUAAUCUGCUUUAAAUGGUUAAGAAUCUCUCGGGAGAAGCUGAAUAGAAGGACAGAAUUCCACCGCAACCAUCAGUUAAUCAGUGUGUGUGCUAUAGGAAAUGAGGCCAAAAGAAUAGGAAAUAGAUAUACUUUUUUCACAUGGAUUAAGAAGCUAAACUUUACUUCCAAGUGCCAGGUCACGUCUUUAGGCAUUUUGUGGAUAUGUUUGCUUCAAGUUA
rnacentral:lncRNA from 1 species